rnacentral:rRNA from 1 species
GGCUCAGAUUGAACGCUGGCGGCAUGCCUUACACAUGCAAGUCGAACGGCAGCACGGACUUCGGUCUGGUGGCGAGUGGCGAACGGGUGAGUAAUGCAUCGGAACGUGCCAUUGAGUGGGGGAUAACGUAGCGAAAGUUGCGCUAAUACCGCAUAUUCUGUGAGCAGGAAAGCAGGGGACCGCAAGGCCUUGCGCUCUUUGAGCGGCCGAUGUCAGAUUAGCUAGUUGGUGAGGUAAAGGCUUACCAAGGCGACGAUCUGUAGCGGGUCUGAGAGGAUGAUCCGCCACACUGGAACUGAGACACGGUCCAGACUCCUACGGGAGGCAGCAGUGGGGAAUUUUGGACAAUGGGGCAACCCUGAUCCAGCCAUGCCGCGUGAGUGAAGAAGGCCUUCGGGUUGUAAAGCUCUUUCGGCCGGGAAGAAAUCGCAUGGGCCAAUACCCUGUGUGGAUGACGGUACCGGAAUAAGAAGCACCGGCUAACUACGUG